rnacentral:lncRNA from 1 species
AUGAAUUAUAAACAAUUGUCACAAUUAUGAAGCUUGCUAAAGUGUUUUUGUAUUUUUGUUUAAUGGAGAGAUAUGAUUUUUAACUAAUUGAAUUGAUGCAAAUGAUUAACAACUACUAAUUAACGAUUGCAAGAAAAAUGAUUACUAGAACGAUAAUAAUAAAAAGGAAUCACACCCGGUUUCGGUAAUUAUUAACCUAGGAUUUCUACAAGUUUUAGUUUCAACUCAAAUGCAUUCGAUUAACGGAUUUAGUGUGCUACUAACUAUCAACGCUCCGAAGAACGGACAAAAAGACACUUUGUAAUCAACACAAGUAAAUCCUAACAAUGAUAAUGCACAAUUACAUAUCACCGUUUCGUGAAGUCAUAACUUUUAACAUCGCUCGACAAUUCACGAAUUCGCAACAAAUGUAACACUAUUAUCAAGAGUUUCAAAAAUCAAAUACAAAUUGUCACUAAGUUAAAACAAGCACAAUUCGAAACCCUAGAAUUAACAACUACCUACACCGGGGUGAAACCGAGAUGAUUAGCCGCU